ACCUGGCUGACUUAGUUGGUGAAGUGUGGGAUUCUUGAUCUCAAGGUUGUGAGUUCAAGCCCUGUGCGGGGUG
rnacentral:tRNA from 1 species